rnacentral:rRNA from 1 species
AUUGAACGCUGGCGGCAGGCCUAACACAUGCAAGUCGAGCGGAUGAAGGGAGCUUGCUCCUGGAUUCAGCGGCGGACGGGUGAGUAAUGCCUAGGAAUCUGCCUGGUAGUGGGGGAUAACGUCCGGAAACGGGCGCUAAUACCGCAUACGUCCUGAGGGAGAAAGUGGGGGAUCUUCGGACCUCACGCUAUCAGAUGAGCCUAGGUCGGAUUAGCUAGUUGGUGGGGUAAAGGCAUACCAAGGCGACGAUCCGUAACUGGUCUGAGAGGAGGAUCAGUCACACUGGAACGGAGACACGGUCCAGACUCCUACGGGAGGCAGCAGUGGGGAAUAUUGUACAAUGGGCGGAAGCCUGAUCCAGCCAUGCCGCGUGUGGGAAGAAGGUCUUCGGAUUGGAAAGCACUUUAAGUUGGGAGGAAGGGCAGUAAGUUAAUACCGUGCUGUUUUGACGUUACCAACAGAAUAAGCACCGGCUAACUUCGUG